ACCCACCUGGAGGUAACACCAGAGGGAGGGAGGGAGCGAGGGAGGGAGGAAGAGAGGGAGAGAGAGGGAGGGAGGAAACCACUGAGGAGCUAACUCACCUACCUGGCCAUGCAAAUCAAUUUUAAGAUGUAUCAUAUGUCAUUUGAGCAACUUAGGAAUGCAGGGCCUUGUGCAUGCAGGACAACAGUUCUACACUGCACUAUAGCCCCAACCCCCUCCUUUCUGUUCUUUUUUUUUUCCCCAGGGGACAGCGAGAAUGCAGUCCCCCACUACCCCGAAUUAUGCAGUCUAGUUUCCUGCAGUUGGGGAAAUCGCAGGGGUCAGCACAUCCAGAGUGCAAUGGAUAAGCCUCGCCCUGGGAAAACCACCUUCGUGAUUAUGGCAUCUCCCCUGCCAGAAGAAGGCACCAGAUCUCAUAACAGAUGGUUGUGAGCCACCAUGUGGUUGCUGGGAACUGAACUCAGGACCUCUGGAAGAGCAGCCGGUGCUCUUAACCUUUGAGCCAUCUCUCCAGCCCCUAUUCCUUCCCAUUCUUGUUGACACUUUCUGUUGCCCCCUCUAUUAAAAAACUGAUUGCCA